rnacentral:lncRNA from 1 species
AUGAAUUUAGCAAGAAUUUUGAGUUGCUUAGAUUGGUGGCAGGUGUGAGAUUGGAGAAAACUUCUCAAAUGAAAGAGUUGCCAAAGUACAGAUUGGUUAAUCAUGUUUCACUGAACCACCCCAAAUUGAGCGGUUCAAGAUGUGCCGAGCCUUAUCAACAGCCUAUGGGUGCAGUUUUGGUGUUCGAUUCAGAACACCAGUGAAAA